rnacentral:rRNA from 1 species
GAGAAGCACCUUAGCAGGUCUUGACAUCCUCUGACAAUCCUAGAGAUAGGACGUCCCCUUCGGGGGCAGAGUGACAGGUGGUGCAUGGUUGUCGUCAGCUCGUGUCGUGAGAUGUUGGGUUAAGUCCCGCAACGAGCGCAACCCUUGAUCUUAGUUGCCAGCAUUCAGUUGGGCACUCUAAGGUGACUGCCGGUGACAAACCGGAGGAAGGUGGGGAUGACGUCAAAUCAUCAUGCCCCUUAUGACCUGGGCUACACACGUGCUACAAUGGACAGAACAAAGGGCAGCGAAACCGCGAGGUUAAGCCAAUCCCACAAAUCUGUUCUCAGUUCGGAUCGCAGUCUGCAACUCGACUGCGUGAAGCUGGAAUCGCUAGUAAUCGCGGAUCAGCAUGCCGCGGUGAAUACGUUCCCGGGCCUUGUACACACCGCCCGUCACACCACGAGAGUUUGUAACACCCGAAGUCGGUGAGGUAACCUUUAGGAGCCAGCCGCCGAA